UACGUAGGUGGCAAGCGUUGUCCGGAUUUACUGGGCGUAAAGAGCGCGCAGGCGGUCGAUCAAGUCGCGUGUGAAAGCCCCCGGCUCAACUGGGGAGGGUCACGCGAUACUGAUCGACUCGAAGGCAGGAGAGGGUAGUGGAAUUCCCGGUGUAGUGGUGAAAUGCGCAGAUAUCAGGAGGAACACCGGUGGCGAAGGCGGGUCUCGUGGGCAACAACUGACGCUGAGGAGCGAAAGCGUGGGGAGCGAACAGG
rnacentral:rRNA from 1 species